AGACACCUAAAGGCCUCCGCUAUGUGGGCGGUGACCCGCCCGUGACGUAAGCUCCAGACGCCUGAGAAGUGGAAGGACCCGGCGUCCAGGACAGGAAAGUGCGUGAUUUACAGCUAGAGGGAUAGGCGCUGUCCCGGAGCCCGUCCUGGGCCAGGGAGCAGGAGAGGGAGGGACUACAGUUCCCGACGCGCUGCGGGGCGGGCGGAGAUCGUGCGCUUCGGCGCCAGUUGCACGGCCUUAGCAGCCAGUGGCGGCUCCCCUGCUCCUGUAACAGUCCCCUUGUCUUCUGACCUUUCGCUCCUCGGUCAUGUGUCCUCGCCGGUCGCCGCGGCAGCCAGUGAUGCCCGAGCGGCGGGUUCCCAGGCCCAGGUGUGGGCGCCACCGCCCACCAUGCGCCAAGCCCAGAGCCUGGUUGAAUCGUUCGCCACCUUGUCUACCCAUUUUGGCCAUUAUCCUGCCACCUCCAAAUCCUGUUUUUGACACUUCUCGGGAGAGAGAGAAAACGGAAAGAUAAAGGAAUAAACUCCUCGUGGUCGUAGUUAGUGGGUAAAUUCAGAUCUCGUUUGAACCGAGGUUUUUCUUAUCUCCAGCCACCGUAUCCACCACCACCAGAAUCGUCUUUUUAGUCAUCACAGCUGGUCGCCGUCAGUACCUUGUUCAGAAGCCUCUCGCAGCUUCCAUCGUGUGGUUAUACAAUCCAAAUUCCUUAUAAAGUCCAAAUUCAAGAGGAGGAAUGCACGUUUAGUUAAGUUAAUGUCUAGACCUUACCAGCCAAUUUCUAGCUCCUCAGUAUGGAAAUUGCAACUGAAAACACCCCUUCCAAAAAAAGCAGUCUGCAUUUUUCUCUGAGUUUUCUUCUCCAAAUUUCGCACCCCUGACCUUGCUUACACACUCUGGAUACCACCUGCUGUGGAGUGGCGGAAGCAGACAUCCAGCGAUAGCUAAGUUUCCUGUCGUUGACACCCAAGCAAGACAGGCGUGUACCUAACUGAGGACCUGCCGGUGAUAGAAGUCUCAGCUUUUCUCAGAGACAGAUGAGUCUUCCCUUUAAAUGCUGCAAAGUGCUGCAUAGUAGAUGUUAAAUGAAAGUCAGAAAGAAUCAAAUGUGCUGCAAAUAAUUGAAGUUCAACCCAAUGGAAAUAGAUUAAAAGAGUGAAAGUCACUGGUCUCAAAGAAUCUACGGAAUUCAGCAUUUUGGAAAUCACAUAGCAAUUUUGGGUAGGUAUUCACAUGCACUAAAAAACCAGGCAAACAUCCGACUCCCAGGAUAAAGUGACUGAGAGCAGUAGAAGACUUGUUGAGCCGUAAGGAAUAAGAGGAAAAUUAUGUUAUGAAGUGCAGGAACAGCACAGACCCAGACGAGGGGAUGCAGCCCAGAGCCAGUAACCCGGUGCCUCCUCCUCCCCAGGAAGCAGCGCUGGCUGAUCCCCAGAUACCAUGAUCACACCGUCCCAGGUCCUGAGAGCGCCUCAUAGGUAGACAGUUCUUUGGGACUUUUGGGACGCAGCACUUGAAGAGAGGUCUACCUAAACUUUCCUCCUGGGAGCCUGUGAUCAUUUGAAAGUAACAGAAGAAAGUUGUCAGGCUGAGGA
rnacentral:lncRNA from 1 species